CGGACGGGUGAGUAAUGUCUGGGAAACUGCCUGAUGGAGGGGGAUAACUACUGGAAACGGUAGCUAAUACCGCAUAAUGUCUGCGGACCAAAGCGGGGGACCUCCGGGCCUCGCGCCAUCAGAUGAACCCAUAUGGGAUUAGCUUGUAGGUAAGGUAACGGCUUACCUAGGCGACGAUCCCUAGCUGGUCUGAGAGGAUGAUCAGCCACACUGGAACUGAGACACGGUCCAG
rnacentral:rRNA from 1 species